rnacentral:rRNA from 1 species
GGCGAUCAGAUACCGCCCUAGUUCUAACCGUAAACGAUGCCAACUAGCGAUCAGCGGGGGUUAAAUUUAUGACUCCGCUGGAAGCUUCCGGGAAACCAAAGUGAUUGGGUUCCGGGGGAAGUAUGGUUGCAAAGCUGAAACUUAAAGGAAUUGACGGAAGGGCACCACCAGGAGUGGAGCCUGCGGCUUAAUUUGACUCAACGCGGGGAAACUCACCCGGCCCGGACACCGUAAGGAUUGACAGAUUGAGAGCUCUUUCUUGAUUCGGUGGGUGGUGGUGCAUGGCCGUUCUUAGUUGGUGGAGCGAUUUGUCUGGUUAAUUCCGAUAACGAACGAGACUCUAGCCUACUAAAUAGUGCACGGAUCUUGGUCCGUUGUGCUUCUUAGAGGGACAAGGGGUAUCUAGCCCCACGAGAUUGAGCAAUAACAGGUCUGUGAUGCCCUUAGAUGUCCGGGGCUGCACGCGCGCUACACUGAAGGAGUCAACAUGCAUUGUAACCUUCUCUGGAAAGAGCGGGUAACCCAAUGAAACUCCUUCGUGAUUGGGAUAGGGAAUUGUAAUUAUUUCCCUUGAACGAGGAAUUCCUAGUAAGUGCGGGUCAUCAUCUCGCGUUGAUUACGUCCCUGCCCUUUGUA